UUUUUUUUUUUUUUUUUUUUUUGCAGUACACGGGCCUCUCACUGUUGUGGCCUCUCCCGUUGCGGAGCACAGGCUCCGGACGCGCAGGCUCAGCGCCCAUGGCGGACUCUCAACCACUGCGCCAUCAGGGAAGCCCCACCUUUAUUCUUAAAAGGGCAGGAUUGGAUCCCUGGUGAUGGAACUAAGAUCCUGCAAGCUGCGUGGCCAAAAAAAAGAAAGAAAGAAAAAGAAAAGCACUUUAGGUUUUUAAUGUACACAAUUAUUUUUAAUUUUUUUAAAAUUUAUAAAGAAAAGUUACAUAAAUAGCCCAUUGAACAUAUGUUCAAAUAGAGAUGUAAAAUGUGAGUAAAAUCUUAGUAAAGCAUAAGGAUUUGCGUAUCCGUUAGUUCCAUUAUGUUGAUUGGAUUAACCAAAUCCUCUCUUUUAAAUUCAGGUAUUCUUGUGUAGGGUGAAAUAAGGUCACGUGUUAAAGCAUGCUAGUAAAAUUAGAGAGUUGUUGGUUUGUCUUUCAGUGGCUAACCUUGUUUUUUUUGUUUUGUUUUGUUUUCGCUGCGUUGGGUCUUCUUUGUUGCUGCACGUGGACUUUUCUCUAGUUGUGGCGAGCAGGGGCUACUCUUCCUUGCGGUGCACGGGCUUCUCAUUGCGGUGGCUUCUCUUGUUGUGGGCUCUAGGUGUGUGGGCUUCAGUGGUUGCAGCACGUGGGCCCUAGAGCACAGGCUCAGUAGUUGUGGUACACGGGCUUAGUUGCUCGUGGCAUGUGGGAAAUUCCCAGACCAGGAAUCGAACCUGUGUCCCCUGCACUGACAGGUGGAUUCUUAACCACUGCGCCACCAGGGAAGUCCCUAACCUUGUUUUUAAUUGCAUGCCUAUUAAUUUGGUGCAUUGAAGUUCAAGUUUGAUUGGUAUUCAUCACUGACUGUGCUACUCUUCUAUUAUUUUUGCUGGAUAUUAAUAUUGUUGUCUUUUCCUUAAUUGGGUGUAGGUUUCUGUAACAUAUAUUUUUGGCUUUAAGCUCUUCCACAUCAUUCCGUUUUAAUCUAAUUCUUUAGAAGCAGAUUUUUUCCCAAUUUUGUAUUUUGAUACAAUCUCAAAUGUUUGCUUCCUAUAAACAGAAUUUAAACAAUAACAUUUUACCUUAUCUAGUGUAUUUGUUCUAUCUUUCGUGAAUUUUUUGUUCUGUAAAUAAUUCUGAAAUGAUUUAGAAUAUAUGUAUACUUGUUUUUAAUCAAAACAGACCUUAGGUAAAAAUUCAUUUUCCAAGAUUUUUACAGACAUAUUUACCUAAUUGAAAUUAAAAAAACAACUUUUGACUUUUCAAAA